rnacentral:rRNA from 1 species
GUGCCAGCAGCCGUCGGUGAAUUCCAGCUCCAAUAGCGUAUAUUAAAGUUGUUGUGGUUAAAAAGCUCGUAGUUGAACCUUGGGCCUGGCUGGCCGGUCCGCCUCACCGCGUGCACUGGUCCGGCCGGGCCUUUCCCUCUGUGGAACCCCAUACCCUUCACUGGGCGUGGCGGGGAAACAGGACAUUUACUUUGAAAAAAUUAGAGUGCUCCAGGCAGGCCUAUGCUCGAAUACAUUAGCAUGGAAUAAUAAAAUAGGACGCGCGGUUCUAUUUUGUUGGUUUAUAGGACCGCCGUAAUGAUUAAUAGGGACAGUCGGGGGCAUCAGUAUUCAACUGUCAGAGGUGAAAUUCUUGGAUCAGUUGAAGACUAACUACUGCGAAAGCAUUUGCCAAGGAUGUUUUCAUUAAUCAGGAACGAAAGUUAGGGGGAUCGAAGACGAUCAGAUACCGUCGUAGUCUUAACCAUAAACUAUGCCGACUAGGGAUCGGACGGUGUUAUUCAUGACCCGUUCGGCACCUUACGAGAAAUCAAAGUGCUUGGGGCUCCAGGGGGAGUAUGGUCGCAAGGCUGAAACUUAAAGAAAUUGACGGAAGGGGCACCACCAGGGGUGGAAGCCUGCGGCUAAAUUUGACUCAACACGGGGAAACUCACCAGGUCCAGACACAAUAAGGAUUGACAGAUUGAGAGCUCUUUCUUGAUUUUGUGGGUGGUGGUGCAUGGCCGUUCUUAGUUGGUGGGGUGACUUGUCUGCUUAAUUGCGAUAACGAACGAAGGCCUUAACCUGCUAAAUAGCCCGCAUUGCUCCAGCAAGUGCGCUGGCCUUACUUAGGAGGGACUUUCGGCUUCAGGCGGAAGGAAGCUUGAGGCAAAUAACCAAGGCCUGUGAUGGCCUUUAGAAUGUCCUAGCUCGC